rnacentral:rRNA from 1 species
UACAGAGGUCCCAAGCGUUGUUCGGAUUCACUGGGCGUAAAGGGUGCGUAGGCGGCAUGACAAGUCACUUGUGAAAUCUCCGGGCUUAACUCGGAACGGCCAAGUGAUACUGUCAAGCUAGAGUGCAGAAAGGGCAAUCGGAAUUCUUGGUGUAGCGGUGAAAUGCGUAGAUAUCAAGAGGAACACCUGAGGCGAAGGCGGGUUGCUAGGCUGACACUGACGCUGAAGCGCGAAAGCCAGGGGAGCAAACGGG